rnacentral:rRNA from 1 species
AUUGAACGCUGGCGGCAGGCCUAACACAUGCAAGUCGAACGGUAGCACAGAGAGCUUGCUCUCGGGUGACGAGUGGCGGACGGGUGAGUAAUGUCUGGGAAACUGCCUGAUGGAGGGGGAUAACUACUGGAGACGGUAGCUAAUACCGCAUAACGUCGCAAGACCAAAGAGGGGGACCUUCGGGCCUCUUGCCAUCAGAUGUGCCCAGAUGGGAUUAGCUAGUAGGUGGGGUAACGGCUCACCUAGGCGACGAUCCCUAGCUGGUCUGAGAGGAUGACCAGCUACACUGGAACUGAGACACGGUCCAGACUCCUACGGGAGGCAGCAGUGGGGAAUAUUGCACAAUGGGCGCAAGCCUGAUGCAGCCAUGCCGCGUGUAUGAAGAAGGCCUUCGGGUUGUAAAGUACUUUCAGCGGGGAGGAAGGCGAUACGGUUAAUAACCGUGUUGAUUGACGUUACCCGCAGAAGAAGCACCGGCUAACUCCGUGCCAGCCGCCGCCGUAA